GAUGAGCUUGCGUCUGAUUAGUUAGUUGGUGAGGUAAUGGCUCACCAAGACUAUGAUCAGUAGCUGAUUUGAGAGAAUGAUCAGCCACACUGGGACUGAGACACGGCCCAGACUCCUACGGGAGGCAGCAGUGAGGAAUUUUUCGCAAUGGGCGCAAGCCUGACGGAGCAAUACUGCGUGGAGGAUGAAGGCUCGUGGGCUGUAAACUCCUUUUCCUCGAGAAGAAGUUCUGACGGUAUCGGGGGAAUAAGCAUCAGCUAACUGCGCGCCAGCAGCUGCGGUAAUACGUGGGAUGCAAGCGUUAUCCGGAUUUAUUGGGCGUAAAGCGUCUGUAGGUGGUUUCGCAAGUUUGUUGUUAAAUUUUUCAGCUUAACUGAAUUCCAGCAGCAAAUACUAUGAAGCUUGAGUAUGGUAGAGGAAAAGGGAAUUCCUUGUGGAGCGGUGAAAUGCGUAGAUAUAAGGAAGAACACCAAUGGCGAAAGCACUUUUCUGGGCCUUUACUGACACUGAGAGACGAAAGCUAGGGGAGCGAGUAGGAUUAGAUACCCUAUUAGUCUCAGCCGUAACUAUGGAAACUAGGUUUUGG
rnacentral:rRNA from 1 species